UAAUACGUAGGGUCCAAGCGUUAUCCGGAAUCACUGGGCGUAAAGCGUGCGUAGGUGGUAAUUUGCGUGCAACGCGAAAUUGUGUGGCUCAACCAUACAACGUUGUUGCAUACGGGAUUACUAGAGGACAUGAGAGGCAAGUGGAAUUACUGGUGUAGCAGUGAAAUGCGUAGAUAUCAGUAGGAACACCAAUGGCGAAGGCAGCUUGCUGGCAUGUAUCUGACGCUAAGGCACGAAAGCGUGGGGAGCGAACAGGAUUAGAUACCCUGGUAGUCCACGCCGUAAACGAUGCAUAUUAUUAGUAUGGAGUAUCGACCCUCUGUGCUGAGAAGCUAACGCGUUAAAUAUGCCGCCUGGGGAGUACGAGCGCAAGCUUA
rnacentral:rRNA from 1 species